rnacentral:lncRNA from 1 species
CUCAGAGGGAAAUGAUGGUCUUGUGGGAGAGAUGCUCGCCACUGAAAGCCACCUUGCCCUAGUUUAGAUGUGGCUAAAUGGGAAAGGGGCAGUCUUAGUAUUUGAAAAGCUCCAUUAAUUGAGAAGAAGCCAGUCUGUCAACAAAACAAAACAAAACAAAACAAAAAAAACGUGGAAAGUGUGUUGAGGAAGAAAGGGAAACUCCAGGCUUAACCGGAAACUGAAGUGGAAAGAAAAUACGUGCAGCCUUUCUCCCGGUUCCGGUGAACACAGCUGCAAGAAUUCAAAAGCAAUCACAGAGGAGGAAACUGCCACCUGGGCGCAGUGUGGCCUGUGGCUCAGAGAACAAGUGCUCCAGAGCUGACUGUCCCAGGUCGAAGAGGGUGACUCUCAGAAUUCCUUCGAGAGCUGAUUGCUUGCUGUGAGAAAAGCAUUGUGAGCAGAAAAUUCUGCUUUGGGGGCUGCAGAUGGUGUGGAGAGUCACCUGUCAGAAGCUGUAGGAACACAAGCCAUGCCAGAGAACAAGGUGAGUAACAUGUCCGGAAAUGGUAGGGAGAUAGUAAGAGGCAAUGUCAAUGUCAUUGAGAAAGAGAGC